rnacentral:snRNA from 1 species
GUGUUGUAUGAAAGGAGAGAAGGUUUGCAGUCCUCUUGACAAGGAUGGAAGUGGCCCUCGGGUCUAACA